UACGGGGGGAGCAAGCGUUGUUCGGAUUUACUGGGCGUAAAGGGCGCGUAGGCGGUCAUCACAAGUCAGUUGUGAAAUCUCCGGGCUUAACUCGGAAAGGUCAACUGAUACUGUGCGACUAGAGUGCAGAAGGGGCAACUGGAAUUCUCGGUGUAGCGGUGAAAUGCGUAGAUAUCGAGAGGAACACCGGUGGCGAAGGCGGGAUCCUGGGCCAGUACUGACGCUGAGGAGCGAAAGCGUGGGGAGCAAACAGG
rnacentral:rRNA from 1 species